rnacentral:rRNA from 1 species
AUUGAACGCUGGCGGCUGGCCUAACACAUGCAAGUCGCACGAGUGGCGGACGGGUGAGUAAUGACUGGGAAACUGCAUGAUGGAGGGGGAUAACUAAUGGAAACGGUAGCUAAUAACGCAUACCAUCGGAUGUGCCCAGAUGGGAUUAGCUAGUAGGUGGGGUAAAGGCUCACCAGGGCGACGAUCCCUAGCUGGUCUGAGAGGAUGACCAGCCACACGGGAACUGAGACACGGUCCAGACCCCUACGGGCGGCAGCAGUGGGGAAUAGUGCACAAUGGGCGCAAGCCUGAUGCAGCCAUGCCGCGUGUAUGAAGAAGGCCUUCGGGUUGGAAAGUACUUUCAGCGGGGAGGCGGUACCCGCAGAAGAAGCACCGGCUAACUCCGUGCCAGCAGCCGCGGUAAUAC